rnacentral:rRNA from 1 species
AGUGUGAAGGCAUAGAGCCUUCACUUUUGUACACCGUAAGGUGGUGCACGAAUAAGGACUGGGCAAGACCGGUGCCAGCCGCCGCGGUAAUACCGGCAGUCCGAGUGAUGGCCGAUCUUAUUGGGCCUAAAGCGUCCGUAGCUGGCUGAACAAGUCCGUUGGGAAAUCUGUCCGCUUAACGGGCGGGCGUCCAGCGGAAACUGUUCAGCUUGGGACCGGAAGACCUGAGGGGUACGUCUGGGGUAGGAGUGAAAUCCUGUAAUCCUGGACGGACCGCCGGUGGCGAAAGCGCCUCAGGAGAACGGAUCCGACAGUGAGGGACGAAAGCUAGGGUCUCGAACCGGAUUAGAUACCCGGGUAGUCCUAGCUGUAAACGAUGUCCGCUAGGUGUGGCGCAGGCUACGAGCCUGCGCUGUGCCGUAGGGAAGCCGAGAAGCGGACCGCCUGGGAAGUACGUCUGCAAGGAUGAAACUUAAAGGAAUUGGCGGGGGAGCACUACAACCGGAGGAGCCUGCGGUUUAAUUGGACUCAACGCCGGACAUCUCACCAGCCCCGACAGUAGUAAUGACGGUCAGGUUGAUGACCUUACCCGAGGCUANUGAGAGGAGGUGCAUGGCCGCCGUCAGCUCGUACCGUGAGGCGUCCUGUUAAGUCAGGCAACGAGCGAGACCCGCACUCNUAAUUGCCAGCAGUACCCUUUGGGUAGCUGGGUACAUUAGGUGGACUGCCGCUGCCAAAGCGGAGGAAGGAACGGGCAACGGUAGGUCAGUAUGCCCCGAAUGGGCUGGGCAACACGCGGGCUACAAUGGUCGAGACAAUGGGAUGCCACUCCG